CCAGGAUUUCAGUGCCAAUCAAUCUGCAUUACGUCACCAGCCCGCCUCCUAGUCCUUCCCUCAGUUUCUUCAUUGGACGAAACUUAAAAAAGCUGAAGACUGGGUUUCUAGACAAUUUCUUAGGGAACAGAGCCUAAACUUCAAAACCCUGGAUUCCUGUGCUCCGAGGUGCGACAUUAGGAAUCCGAGGACUCAGCAAGAGGAGACAAAUAUUGAAGUGUGCAGCCCAGCUAGAGAGGAUCCAAGUCAGGCAUAGCAACAGCCGGCAAAUCCUCACGCAUUUGUUAAAUGUGUCUACUAGUACGCAUGUCCUGUUCUGCAUUCCUUCCUCUGCAGUGUGACCAUGCCAGAAAUUCAAGUGGAAACAGUGACUUGAAGCCGGUGCAUUCCUAUUCCUGACAAAAUCACAGGCGCAGACACUGGUGUCCUCUACAUCUUUAGAACACUUGACUGGCACAAAAUGACACAGGUGUGGGGGCGGGACCGGAAUAUGAAUAAAUAAAGAGUCUCCAUACUUUU